UGGGGAAUUUUGGACAAUGGGGGCAACCCUGAUCCAGCAAUGCCGCGUGUGUGAAGAAGGCCUUCGGGUUGUAAAGCACUUUUGUCCGGAAAGAAAUCCUCUUCGAUAAUACCGGAGGGGGAUGACGGUACCGGAAGAAUAAGCACCGGCUAACUACGUGCCAGCAGCCGCGGUAAUACGUAGGGUGCGAGCGUUAAUCGGAAUUACUGGGCGUAAAGCGUGCGCAGGCGGUGAUGCAAGACCGAUGUGAAAGCCCCGGGCUCAACCUGGGAACUGCAUUGGUGACUGCAUCGCUGGAGUAUGGCAGAGGGGGGUGGAAUUCCACGUGUAGCAGUGAAAUGCGUAGAGAUGUGGAGGAACACCGAUGGCGAAGGCAGCCCCCUGGGCCAAUACUGACGCUCAUGCACGAAAGCGUGGGGAGCAAACAGGAUUAGAUACCCCCGUAGUCC
rnacentral:rRNA from 1 species